rnacentral:misc_RNA from 1 species
GCGUAAAGCGGAAAGCAGAUACUACCACCCCUACACCUACAGCCAUCUUGGCUCCUGGUUCUCCAGCUAGCCCUCCUGGGAGUCUUGAGCCUAAGGCAGCACGGCUUCCCCCUAUGCGUAGAGAGAGUGGUCGCCCCAUCAAGCCCCCACGCAAAGACUUGCCUGACUCUCAGCAACAACACCAGAGCUCUAAGAAAGGAAAGCUUUCAGAACAGUUAAAACAUUGCAAUGGCAUUUUGAAGGAGUUACUCUCUAAGAAGCAUGCUGCCUAUGCUUGGCCUUUCUAUAAACCAGUGGAUGCUUCUGCACUUGGCCUGCAUGACUACCAUGACAUCAUUAAGCACCCCAUGGACCUCAGCACUGUCAAGCUUCUGAUGCUGCCUCCUUCUGCAGCGGAAGAUGGAGAACCGUGAUUACCGGGAUGCACAGGAGUUUGCUGCUGAUGUACGGCUUAUGUUCUCCAACUGCUAUAAGUACAAUCCCCCAGAUCACGAUGUUGUGGCAAUGGCACGAAAGCUACAGGAUGUAUUUGAGUUCCGUUAUGCCAAGAUGCCAGAUGAACCACUAGAACCAGGGCCUUUACCAGUCUCUACUGCCAUGCCCCCUGGCUUGGCCAAAUCGUCUUCAGAGUCCUCCAGUGAGGAAAGUAGCAGUGAGAGCUCCUCUG